rnacentral:rRNA from 1 species
AGUGAACGCUGGCGGUAGGCCUAACACAUGCAAGUCGAACGGCAGCACAGUAAGAGCUUGCUCUUACGGGUGGCGAGUGGCGGACGGGUGAGGAAUACAUCGGAAUCUACUUUUUCGUGGGGGAUAACGUAGGGAAACUUACGCUAAAACCGCAUACGACCUACGGGUGAAAGCAGGGGAUCUUCGGACCUUGCGCGGUUGAAUGAGCCGAUGUCGGAUUAGCUAGUUGGCGGGGUAAAGGCCCACCAAGGCGACGAUCCGUAGCUGGUCUGAGAGGAUGAUCAGCCACACUGGAACUGAGACACGGUCCAGACUCCUACGGGAGGCAGCAGUGGGGAAUAUUGGACAAUGGGCGCAAGCCUGAUCCAGCCAUACCGCGUGGGUGAAGAAGGCCUUCGGGUUGUAAAGCCCUUUUGUUGGGAAAGAAAAGCAGCAGGUUAAUACCCCGCUGUUCUGACGGUACCCAAAGAAUAAGCACCGGCUAACUUCGUG